GCGCCCGUAGCUCAGGGGAUAGAGCGAGAGACUUCUAAUCUCGAGGCCGCAGGUUCGAAUCCUGCCGGGCGCAUCA
rnacentral:tRNA from 1 species